rnacentral:rRNA from 1 species
AGGGUUCGAUUCUGGCUCAGGAUGAACGCUGGCGGCGUGCUUAACACAUGCAAGUCGAACGGGAUCCAUCAAGCUUGCUUGGUGGUGAGAGUGGCGAACGGGUGAGUAAUGCGUGACCGACCUGCCCCAUACACCGGAAUAGCUCCUGGAAACGGGUGGUAAUGCCGGAUGCUCCGACUCCUCGCAUGGGGUGUCGGGAAAGAUUUCAUCGGUAUGGGAUGGGGUCGCGUCCUAUCAGGUAGUCGGCGGGGUAACGGCCCACCGAGCCUACGACGGGUAGCCGGCCUGAGAGGGCGACCGGCCACAUUGGGACUGAGAUACGGCCCAGACUCCUACGGGAGGCAGCAGUGGGGAAUAUUGGGCAAUGGGCGCAAGCCUGACCCAGCAACGCCGCGUGAAGGAAGAAGGCUUUCGGGUUGUAAACUUCUUUUGUCGGGGACGAAACAAAUGACGGUACCUGACGAAUAAGCCACGGCUAACUACGUGCCAGCAGCCGCGGUAAUACGUAGGUGGCAAGCGUUGUCCGGAUUUACUGGGUGUAAAGGGCGUGCAGCCGGGCAUGCAAGUCAGAUGUGAAAUCUCAGGGCUUAACCCUGAAACUGCAUUUGAAACUGUAUGUCUUGAGUGCCGGAGAGGUAAUCGGAAUUCCUUGUGUAGCGGUGAAAUGCGUAGAUAUAAGGAAGAACACCAGUGGCGAAGGCGGAUUACUGGACGGUAACUGACGGUGAGGCGCGAAAGCGUGGGGAGCGAACAGGAUUAGAUACCCUGGUAGUCCACGCUGUAAACGAUGGAUACUAGGUGUGCGGGGACUGACCCCCUGCGUGCCGCAGUUAACACAAUAAGUAUCCCACCUGGGGAGUACGAUCGCAAGGUUGAAACUCAAAGGAAUUGACGGGGGCCCGCACAAGCGGUGGAUUAUGUGGUUUAAUUCGAAGCAACGCGAAGAACCUUACCAGGUCUUGACAUCCUGCUAACGAAGUAGAGAUACAUUAGGUGCCCUUCGGGGAAAGCAGAGACAGGUGGUGCAUGGUUGUCGUCAGCUCGUGUCGUGAGAUGUUGGGUUAAGU